CUUGCUAUCCAGAGAGCGGCGUACGGGUGCGUAACACGUGUGCAACCUGCCUUUAUCUGGGGGAUAGCCUUUCGAAAGGAAGAUUAAUACCCCAUAAUAUGGUGUCCGGCAUCGGUCGCCAUUGAAAGCCUCGGCGGAUAGAGAUGGGCACGCGCAAGAUUAGAUAGUUGGCGGGGUAACGGCCCACCAAGUCGAUGAUCUUUAGGGGUCCUGAGAGGGAGAUCCCCCACACUGGUACUGAGACACGGACCAGACUCCUACGGGAGGCAGCAGUGAGGAAUAUUGGACAAUGGGUGGAAGCCUGAUCCAGCCAUCCCGCGUGAAGGAUGACGGUCCUAUGGAUUGUAAACUUCUUUUGUACAGGGAUAAACCUGCCCUCGUGAGGGCAGCUGAAGGUACUGUACGAAUAAGCACCGGCUAACUCCGUGCCAGCAGCCGCGGUAAUACGGAGGGUGCGAGCGUUAUCCGGAUUUAUUGGGUUUAAAGGGUCCGUAGGCGGGCCUGUAAGUCAGUGGUGAAAUCUCAUAGCUUAACUAUGAAACUGCCAUUGAUACUGCAGGCCUUGAGUAAAUUUGAAGUGGCUGGAAUAAGUAGUGUAGCGGUGAAAUGCAUAGAUAUUACUUAGAACACCGAUUGCGAAGGCAGGUCACUAAGAUUUAACUGACGCUGAUGGACGAAAGCGUGGGGAGCGAACAGGAUUAGAUACCCUGGUAGUCCACGCCGUAAACGAUGCUAACUCGUUUUUGGAUCUUCGGGUUCAGAGACCAAGCGAAAGUGAUAAGUUAGCCACCUGGGGAGUACGUCCGCAAGGAUGAAACUCAAAGGAAUUGACGGGGGCCCGCACAAGCGGUGGAUUAUGUGGUUUAACUCGAUGAUACGCGAGGAACCUUACCAAGACUUAAAUGGGAAUUGACAGAUUUAGAAAUAGAUCCUCCUUCGGGCAAUUUUCAAGGUGCUGCAUGGUUGUCGUCAGCUCGUGCCGUGAGGUGUUAGGUUAAGUCCUGCAACGAGCGCAACCCCUGCCAACAGUUGCCAUCAUUCAGUUGGGGACUCUGUUGGGACUGCCUACGCAAGUAGAGAGGAAGGUGGGGAUGACGUCAAAUCAUCACGGCCCUUACGUCUUGGGCCACACACGUAAUACAAUGGCCGGUACAGAGGGCAGCUACCUGGUGACAGGAUGCGAAUCUCGAAAGCCGGUCUCAGUUCGGAUUGGAGUCUGCAACUCGACUCUAUGAAGCUGGAAUCGCUAGUAAUCGCGCAUCAGCCAUGGCGCGGUGAAUACGUUCCCGGGCC
rnacentral:rRNA from 1 species